rnacentral:rRNA from 1 species
GGAGAGAGCUUGCUUUCUUGCUGACGACCGGCGCACGGGUGCGUAACGCGUAUGCAACCUACCUUCUACAGGGGGAUAGCCCAGAGAAAUUUGGAAUAAUACCCCAUACGAUCAAUGAUUGGCAUCGAUUAUUGAAGAAAACUCCGGUGGUAGAAGAUGGGCAUGCGUCCUAUUAGUUAGUUGGUGAGGUAACGGCUCACCAAGGCGUCGAUAGGUAGGGGCCCUGAGAGGGGGAUCCCCCACACUGGUACUGAGACACGGACCAGACUCCUACGGGAGGCAGCAGUGAGGAAUAUUGGACAAUGGGGGCAACCCUGAUCCAGCCAUGCCGCGUGCAGGAAGACUGCCCUAUGGGUUGUAAACUGCUUUUAUACAGGAAGAAACCUACUUACGUGUAAGUAGCUGACGGUACUGUAAGAAUAAGGAUCGGCUAACUCCGUGCCAGCAGCCGCGGUAAUACGGAGGAUCCAAGCGUUAUCCGGAAUCAUUGGGUUUAAAGGGUCCGUAGGUGGUUAAUUAAGUCAGAGGUGAAAGCCAGCAGCUCAACUGUUGGACUGCCUUUGAUACUGAUUAACUUGAGUUAUUGUGAAGUAGUUAGAAUAUGUAGUGUAGCGGUGAAAUGCAUAGAUAUUACAUAGAAUACCGAUUGCGAAGGCAGAUUACUAACAAUAUACUGACACUGAGGGACGAAAGCGUGGGUAGCGAACAGGAUUAGAUACCCUGGUAGUCCACGCCGUAAACGAUGGUCACUAGCUGUUUGACCAACAUUGGUUGGUUGAGUGGCUAAGCGAAAGUGAUAAGUGACCCACCUGGGGAGUACGCUCGCAGAGUGAAACUCAA